GCUAGGCUAGAUUCUUCUGAGUUUUAUAAGGUACAGCGUGGUGGGGGAAGCGGGAGAAUAAAAUUAGGCAAAAUGAGGGAGGCUGUGUAGCUUUACUCUUUUCCUUUAUUGCAAGGGAUUCUGGACGUAGGAUAACAACAGUAUUCCAUCUUCCCAUUCCUCCGUCGCCCCAUUUUCGGCUCCCAUGUUGUGGGUUGCUCAUCUCUCUCAUUUCUUCGUGGAAGCUCAGUGGCACUAGACAUUAGCACACCAAGGCCAGGUCAUGGCCUCCCAUUUUCGGCAAACGACGUGAACUCCAUCAGCGGCGUCUCUGGUUGAUCUACGACGAAGAGGCAGGAAGGAUAGGACUUCUACCUUUGCCUCCCGAUCUCGCUGCUCCCUUCGGCGAACUUAGUCGGCGUUGGUGAAAUGGGGCCAUGGAUCACUUGUAAUGUGAAUGUGGUCCCGUAAAAUUGCAUUGAAUAUACGCUGUUCUGCCUCUGUUAAACCAAAAUUAUUUCUCCUAGUUAUAAAUUAAUAUGAAGAAAUAAGACCCAAAAAAGAAAGAAAAGAAAUAGAGAACCAAAAUUAGAAAGAGAUUCACCAGCUCAAAAGGGAGGAAAAGCACAUAGAAGAAUAUAUAGCAUGACCCCAACACUCCAAAUAUCCACUUCUGGUCCAUUUCUCCUCCUCAAGACUUCAGGUGCAAUGUAGUAUGCGCUACCAAGAAUAUCUUUAAAUACUUCCCCUGUACAUAUGGAUAUAGCACUUCUGCUCUUAGAUACAUGUUGUAAGUUGCAAUAAUUGGAGUAUGCAAUCCUUUCUGACUUUCAUAUAAUUACCCAUUAUCAAGUGAUCAUAAAGAGAAGGACACGUAAAAUCAUCCUUCAAGUAUUUGUCCUUCAAGUAUUUGUCGAGCAUUUAAUAUUGUCAAAAAAAUUCACACAAACAUCAAUAAAGGUUAUAGAACCCAUUAUGUGCCUAUCUUUCUCCCAUAGCACUAAAGUUCGUUCAAACAAGAACAGACUUUUUCUUACAUAAUUACUCAAUGAAUCAAUGUUCUGUUUUAACAUAGAAAUGUAUAGAUAUGGAGAUCAAAAGUUGACAUUUUUAGGAAUCCAUUUGAUUCCAUCACUAAAUUAAACUCAAUAUCAUGAAGCUGGAAACCUUUGAUUGAAAAAUAGGUAUCUUUCAUUUAUGGUUCCCUAAUAAUUGCUCUAAGAUAUUUCCCCUACCAUUAGAAAAGUAGGAUUUUAAAAAUUGACUUUCCAUCCCUUCCAUAUCUAAGCUGUUGUCAUUACAGAAAAGAUGGCAAGGGUUUAAUUGCAGUUGCUAGCUCCCUCUCUAUUUUCUCCAUAUCUUAGGCCGAUAUGUUUGCCUCAGCUUGAGCGGUGGAAUGUUGACAUAUUUAAUAUUUUCUAUUAUUAAGGGCAUAUGUUUAUUUAUAAUGUCUUGGGACAAUAAUAAACGAUAGGCUAAAAUUUUUGGGUUCUUUUUCCUGACAACCUUAUUUCUAUUUCUCUUCACAGUUUCUAUCCUUAGAUUUUGUUGUUACUCAGCUAAAUAUGCUAAUAUUCCUCCGUAUAUGACAGGGAUUUGUGCCAAAAUUGAGUCUUGCUGUUUCUGGUUUUAUCUUAAAAUAAGCCCACCUGUUCAUUAAAUGUUUUUAGGGUAUGGACCUAAGAGUUAUAUAUUCUUCCUCUCUUUUAUAAGAGACAUGGUGGAGAGUGAAUGUUUGGCCAGUAUAUUUAUAAUCAAUAGUUUUUCUCUUCGCCUCUUUCUUGCUUGUUUGCCAAGUAUAUACUGGUUAUAGUCGCUUCCAAAAUUAUUCUCUAGAUGGAGAAAGGGAAAGAGCAUGCUGAGCACACUCCGGACAGCUGAAGUUUUGGAGUCAAGUGGCCAGAUCGGAGAAAUAGUCAUUGAGACUCAAGAAAGUGUAAUUGAUAUUGUUUAAUUACUUUAUGCACAACUUUGGAGUUACAGAUUUAAUGAUGUAUAUUUGUACAAAAUGAGAUUGGACAACACCUUGGACACUUGCAGGCUUGAAGAUUUAUGGAAAUACUUUGGAAUGAUAGUUUUGUCUCUUGUUGGUGUAUUUGUUUACACUCAAGUUAGAGAUGUACAAAACAUUGUUUAUGUUUUAGUUUGGAAAUUGAACUUGUGUAUUUUAUCCCAUGGUUGUAUUUUGAGUUGUAAGUGUUAAUUAAUACUUGUGAAGUAGGUAGUAUGUUAUUUAUAUGCGAUGGAAUGAGGUGCUGCUUGGACAGUCCAAACUAUGUUUCGUUAAAGUUAAAUCAGGUAGUACUUGAAUUAGGUUCUGAUUAUAUGAAAUGAGUGGAGAAAUUUGCCAUGUAAUUAUAGGAUGGUCUCUUUUUGC